rnacentral:rRNA from 1 species
GAUGAACGCUGGCGGCGUGCCUAAUACAUGCAAGUCGAGCGAACGGACGAGAAGCUUGCUUCUCUGAUGUUAGCGGCGGACGGGUGAGUAACACGUGGAUAACCUACCUAUAAGACUGGGAUAACUUCGGGAAACCGGAGCUAAUACCGGAUAAUAUUUUGAACCGCAUGGUUCAAAAGUGAAAGACGGUCUUGCUGUCACUUAUAGAUGGAUCCGCGCUGCAUUAGCUAGUUGGUAAGGUAACGGCUUACCAAGGCAACGAUGCAUAGCCGACCUGAGAGGGUGAUCGGCCACACUGGAACUGAGACACGGUCCAGACUCCUACGGGAGGCAGCAGUAGGGAAUCUUCCGCAAUGGGCGAAAGCCUGACGGAGCAACGCGGCGUGAGUGAUGAAGGUCUUCGGAUCGUAAAACUCUGUUAUUAGGGAAGAACAUAUGUGUAAGUAACUGUGCACAUCUGGACGGUACCUAAGCAGAAAGCCACGGCUAACUACGU